GUUUUAAUAAUUUAAAUAAAAUAUUGGUCUUGUAAACCAAACUUAAGGUUAUCCUUUUAAAACU
rnacentral:tRNA from 1 species